rnacentral:rRNA from 1 species
AUGUCGUAAGGGAAAAUAAUGAUAAUACCUUACUAAUAGUGUCGUCCAAAUCUGGUGCCAGAAGACUCGGUAAGACCAGAGACGCAAACGUUAAUCAUCAUAAACAGGCGUAAAGGGUUUGUAGGCGGUUUCCAUAAGACUAUGAUUACAAAAUAAAGUAGUCUAAUUGGAAGCUAGAAUCAAAAAGAGGUUAUAGUGUAUAACGCUUAGAGGAGGGCUGAUAUCCUUAGAUCCUAAGCAGAAUACUCAGGGCGAAGGCCACUUUCCAUUAAUGAUUGACGCUGAGAAACGAAGGUUAGGGUAGGAAAUAGGAUUAGAUACCCCGGUACUCCUUUCUGUAAACGAUGAAUGGUAGUCAUUAGUUUAAUAAAACUAGAGGCGAAGUUAACACGAUAACCAUUCCGCCUUGUGAGUACUACUGCAAAGUAGAAAACAAAAAAAUUAGUCGGUCUCGAAGCAAACGGAGUGAAG